CACAAUAAUAGUGUGCAUUACAUUUCGUGAAAGUCAAAGUGAAUGUGUACAAGUGUCCUGGCUUGGAUCAAUUAAUAUUCUGAACAUGGAAUUGAUGAAACUACCAUACUUUUACUGAACGGUGAACACCUAAAGGAAAUAGUUCCCAAACAUCUGUUUGGGGAGCGUGUUCGAUUUGAGCACGAAGUUAACCGCUUUAAUGAAUGGAAAAAUGGACUUUCUGAAAAUAGACCUAUUGGGUAUAACCAAAUUGGCGAAAAGGGGAAUAAUGCUAGUAGCCAAGUCGGAGUACAGGCAAGAAAAAAAACAAUUCGAAUUUUAA